UACGUAGGAGGCAAGCGUUGUCCGGAAUUACUGGGCGUAAAGCGCGUGUAGGUGGUGGGACAAGUCUGCUGUGAAAGCGCCUGGCUUAACCGGGCGAGGUCGGCGGAAACUGUUCGACUCGAGGACGGUAGAGGGGGGUGGAAUUCCCGGUGUAGUGGUGAAAUGCGUAGAGAUCCGGAAGAACACCGGUGGCGAAGGCGGCCUGCUGGGCAGUGGCUGACGCUGAGGCGCGACAGCGUGGGGAGCAA
rnacentral:rRNA from 1 species